rnacentral:rRNA from 1 species
GAUGAACGCUAGCUAUAGGCUUAACACAUGCAAGUCGAGGGGAAACGGCAAAGAGUGCUUGCACCCUUUGGACGUCGACCGGCGCACGGGUGAGUAACGCGUAUCCAACCUGCCCUUUACUUGGGGAUAACCCGUUGAAAGACGGACUAAUACCCAAUGAUAUUCAUUGAUGACAUCUGAUUUGAAUUAAAGAUUUAUCGGUAUAGGAUGGGGAUGCGUCUGAUUAGCUUGUUGGUGAGGUAACGGCUCACCAAGGCAACGAUCAGUAGGGGUUCUGAGAGGAAGGUCCCCCACAUUGGAACUGAGACACGGUCCAAACUCCUACGGGAGGCAGCAGUGAGGAAUAUUGGUCAAUGGACGAGAGUCUGAACCAGCCAAGUAGCGUGCAGGAUGACGGCCCUAUGGGUUGUAAACUGCUUUUGUUUGGGAAUAAUCGACAUUACGUGUAAUGUUUUGCAUGUACCAUUCGAAUAAGGACCGGCUAAUUCCGUGCCAGCAGCCGCGGUAAUACGGAAGGUCCAGGCGUUAUCCGGAUUUAUUGGGUUUAAACGGAGUGUAGGCGGUCGGCUUUGCUUGCUCCUCAAGUAUUGCGGAACCC